CCUACGGGUGGCAGCAGUGAGGAAUAUUGGUCAAUGGACGCAAGUCUGAACCAGCCAUGCCGCGUGCAGGAAGACGGCUCUAUGAGUUGUAAACUGCUUUUGUACGAGGGUAAACGCAGAUACGUGUAUCUGUCUGAAAGUAUCGUACGAAUAAGGAUCGGCUAACUCCGUGCCAGCAGCCGCGGUAAUACGGAGGAUUCAAGCGUUAUCCGGAUUUAUUGGGUUUAAAGGGUGCGUAGGCGGUCGGAUAAGUUAGAGGUGAAAUCCCGAGGCUCAACUUCGGAAUUGCCUCUGAUACUGUUAGGCUAGAGAGUAGUAGCGGUAGGCGGAAUGUAUGGUGUAGCGGUGAAAUGCUUAGAGAUCAGACAGAACACCGAUUGCGAAGGCAGCUUACCAAGCUACGUCUGACGUUGAGGCACGAAAGCGUGGGGAGCAAACAGGAUUAGAUACCCUUGUAGUC
rnacentral:rRNA from 1 species